GCUCUUUCGUCGGGGAAGAAAAUGACUGUACCCGAAUAAGAAGGUCCGGCUAACUUCGUGCCAGCAGCCGCGGUAAUACGAAGGGACCUAGCGUAGUUCGGAAUUACUGGGCUUAAAGAGUUCGUAGGUGGUUGAAAAAGUUAGUGGUGAAAUCCCAGAGCUUAACUCUGGAACUGCCAUUAAAACUUUUCAGCUAGAGUAUGAUAGAGGAAAGCAGAAUUUCUAGUGUAGAGGUGAAAUUCGUAGAUAUUAGAAAGAAUACCAAUUGCGAAGGCAGCUUUCUGGAUCAUUACUGACACUGAGGAACGAAAGCAUGGGUAGCGAAGAGGAUUAGAUACCCUCGUAGUCCAUGCCGUAAACGAUGUGUGUUAGACGUUGGAAAUUUAUUUUCAGUGUCGCAGGGAAACCGAUAAACACACCGCCUGGGGAGUACGACCGCAAGGUUAAAACUCAAAUGAAUUGACGGGGACCCGCACAAGUAGUGGAGCAUGUGGUUUAAUUCGAAGAUACGCGCAGAACCUUACCAACACUUGACAUGUUCGUCGCGACUCUAAGAGAUUAGAGUUUUCGGUUCGGCCGGACGAAACACAGGUGCUGCAUGGCUGUCGUCAGCUCGUGUCGUGAGAUGUUGGGUUAAGUCCCGCAACGAGCGCAACCCUCACUUUUAGUUGCCAUCAUUAAGUUGGGCACUCUGAAAGAACUGCCAGUGAUAAGCUGGAGGAAGGUGGGGAUGACGUCAAGUCCUCAUGGCCCUUACGUGUUGGGCUACACACGUGCUACAAUGGUAUCUACAACAGGAAGCAAGACUGCGAAGUUAAGCAAAUCCCUAAAAGAUACCUCAGUUCGGAUUGCACUCUGCAACUCGAGUGCAUGAAGCUGGAAUUACUAGUAAUCGUGGAUCAGCGUGCCACGGUGAAUGCGUUCCCGGGUCUUGUACACACCGCCCGUCACACCAUGGGAGUUGGUUCUACCUUAAGGCAAGGUUUCAAACCCUUGACCACGGUAUAGUCAGCGACUGGGGUGAAGUCGUAACAAGGUAGCCGUAGGGGAACCUGCGGCUG
rnacentral:rRNA from 1 species